UAGAGUUUGAUCCUGGCUCAGGAUGAACGCUAGCUACAGGCUUAACACAUGCAAGUCGAGGGGAAACGACAUCGAAAGCUUGCUUUUGAUGGGCGUCGACCGGCGCACGGGUGAGUAACGCGUAUCCAACCUGCCCACCACUUGGGGAUAACCUUGCGAAAGUAAGACUAAUACCCAAUGACGUCUCUAGAAGACAUCUGAAGGAGAUUAAAGAUUUAUCGGUGAUGGAUGGGGAUGCGUCUGAUUAGCUUGUUGGCGGGGUAACGGCCCACCAAGGCUACGAUCAGUAGGGGUUCUGAGAGGAAGGUCCCCCACAUUGGAACUGAGACACGGUCCAAACUCCUACGGGAGGCAGCAGUGAGGAAUAUUGGUCAAUGGGCGAGAGCCUGAACCAGCCAAGUAGCGUGCAGGAUGACGGCCCUAUGGGUUGUAAACUGCUUUUAUAAGGGAAUAAAGUGAGCCUCGUGAGGCUUUUUGCAUGUACCUUAUGAAUAAGGACCGGCUAAUUCCGUGCCAGCAGCCGCGGUAAUACGGAAGGUCCGGGCGUUAUCCGGAUUUAUUGGGUUUAAAGGGAGCGUAGGCCGGAGAUUAAGCGUGUUGUGAAAUGUAGACGCUCAACGUCUGCACUGCAGCGCGAACUGGUUUCCUUGAGUACGCACAAAGUGGGCGGAAUUCGUGGUGUAGCGGUGAAAUGCUUAGAUAUCACGAAGAACUCCGAUUGCGAAGGCAGCUCACUGGAGCGCAACUGACGCUGAAGCUCGAAAGUGCGGGUAUCGAACAGGAUUAGAUACCCUGGUAGUCCGCACGGUAAACGAUGGAUGCCCGCUGUUGGUCUGAAUAGGUCAGCGGCCAAGCGAAAGCAUUAAGCAUCCCACCUGGGGAGUACGCCGGCAACGGUGAA
rnacentral:rRNA from 1 species